rnacentral:rRNA from 1 species
GAUGAACGCUGGCGGCGUGCCUAAUACAUGCAAGUCGAGCGAAUGACGAGGAGCUUGCUCCUCUGAUUUAGCGGCGGACGGGUGAGUAACACGUGGGUAACCUGCCUGUAAGACGGGGAUAACUCCGGGAAACCGGAGCUAAUACCGGAUGAUAACGAGAAGCGCCUGCUUCUUUUUUGAAAGUCGGUUUCGGCUGACGCUUACAGAUGGGCCCGCGGCGCAGUAGCUAGUUGGUGAGGUAACGGCUCACCAAGGCGACGAUGCGUAGCCGACCUGAGAGGGUGAUCGGCCACACUGGGACUGGGACACGGCCCAGACUCCUACGGGAGGCAGCAGUAGGGAAUCUUCGGCAAUGGACGAAAGUCUGACCGAGCAACGCCGCGUGAGCGAUGAAGGCCUUCGGGUCGUAAAGCUCUGUUGUCAGAGAAGAACAGGUACCGGAGUAACUGCCGGUACCUUGACGGUACCUGACCAGAAAGCCACGGCUAACUACGUGCCAGCCGCCGCGGUAAUAC